AGCAGCCGCGGUAAUUCCAGCUCCAAUAGCGUAUAUUAAAGUUGUUGCAGUUAAAAAGCUCGUAGUUGAAUUUUGGAUUCUGCCGAUUGGUCCAUCUUUUAGAUGAGUACUGGUUGUGUGGGGUCUAUCCGCCUGGUGAUACGUAAUGUCCUUUAUUGGAUGUUGCGGGUAGUCAGGACCUUUACCUUGAAAAAAUUAGAGUGUUUAAAGCAGGCUUAUGCCGGAAUACAUUAGCAUGGAAUAAUAGAAUAGGACGAAGUUGUUUUAUUUUGUUGGUUUCUAGGACAACCGUAAUGAUUAAUAGGGAUAGUUGGGGGCAUUAGUAUUCAAUUGUCAGAGGUGAAAUUCUUGGAUUUAUUGAAGACUAACUACUGCGAAAGCAUUUGCCAAGGAUGUUUUCAUUAAUCAAGAACGAAAGUUAGGGGAUCGAAGACGAUCAGAUACCGUCGUAGUCUUAACCAUAAACUAUGCCGACUAGGGAUCGGGCGAUGUUGUUUCCAUGACUCGCUCGGCACCUUAU
rnacentral:rRNA from 1 species